rnacentral:rRNA from 1 species
AUACGGAGGAUCCGAGCGUUAUCCGGAUUUAUUGGGUUUAAAGGGUGCGCAGGCGGCCAUUUAAGUCAGCGGUUAAAUCGUGGGGCUCAACCCCAUUCUGCCGUUGAUACUGGGUGGCUUGAUUGCGGUCGAGGUUGGCGGAAUUCGUUGUGUAGCGGUGAAAUGCAUAGAUAUGACGAAGAACACCGAUUGCGUAGGCAGCUGACCAGGCCGCAAAUGACGCUCAUGCACGAAAGUGCGGGGAUCGAACAGGAUUAGAUACCCUGGUAGUCCGCACAGUAAACGAUGAAUACUUGUUUUCGGCGAUAUAAUGUCGGAGGCAAAGCGAAAGCGAUAAGUAUUCCACCUGGGGAGUACGCCGGCAACGGUGAAACUCAAAUGAAUUGGCGGG